rnacentral:rRNA from 1 species
GAUGAACGCUAGCGGCAGGCUUAAUACAUGCAAGUCGUGGGGCAGCAGGUCUGUAGCAAUACAGAUGCUGGCGACCGGCAAACGGGUGCGUAACACGUGCGCAACCUUCCCGUUACUGGGGAAUAGCCCAGGGAAACUUGGAUUAAUACCCCAUAUUAUAUUGGUUAGGCAUCUGACUGAUAUCAAAGCUUCGGCGGUAACGGAUGGGCGUGCGGUUGAUUAGGUAGUUGGCGGGGUAACGGCCCACCAAGCCUACGAUCAAUAGCUGAUGUGAGAGCAUGAUCAGCCACACGGGCACUGAGACACGGGCCCGACUCCUACGGGAGGCAGCAGUAAGGAAUAUUGGGCAAUGGACGAAAGUCUGACCCAGCCAUGCCGCGUGAAGGAUGAAGGUCCUCUGGAUUGUAAACUUCUUUUAUCUGGGGCGAAAAUCGGUUAUUCUUAGCCGCUUGACAGUACCAGAUGAAUAAGCACCGGCUAACUCCGUGCCAGCCGCCGCAGUAAGAC